ensembl:miRNA microRNA 98
GGCUCUGCUGGGGUGAGGUAGUAAGUUGUGUUGUUGUUGGGGUUUGGGAUGCGUGCCCCCUUGCGGAGAUAACUAUACAACUUACUGCCUUCC